UACGGCCAUAUCACGUCGAAACAACGGUUCUCAUACAAUCACCAAAGUUAAGCAAUGUCGAGCCUGAUCAGUUCCUAGAUAGGGGACCGCGUGAGUAUAACAGGUGCUGUA